UACCCUGGUAGUCCACGCCGUAAACGAUGUCGACUUGGAGGUUGUGCCCUUGAGGCGUGGCUUCCGGAGCUAACGCGUUAAGUCGACCGCCUGGGGAGUACGGCCGCAAGGUUAAAACUCAAAUGAAUUGACGGGGGCCCGCACAAGCGGUGGAGCAUGUGGUUUAAUUCGAUGCAACGCGAAGAACCUUACCUACUCUUGACAUCCA
rnacentral:rRNA from 1 species